UAGGGAAUCUUCGGCAAUGGACGAAAGUCUGACCGAGCAACGCCGCGUGAGUGAAGAAGGUUUUCGGAUCGUAAACUCUGUUGGUAGAGAAGAACGUUGGUGAGAGUGGAAAGCUCAUCAAGUGACGGUAACUACCCAGAAAGGGACGGCUAACUACGUGCUAG
rnacentral:rRNA from 1 species